rnacentral:tRNA from 1 species
GGAAAAGUAGCCGAGUGGUCAGGGCACUAGACUAGGAAUUGGGAGAUCUGGGUUCAAGUCCCUGCUUUGCAU